CUAGGCUCAAGUGAUUCUGCCCACCUCUGCCUCCCAAAGUGCUGGGAUUAUGGGCAUGAGCCAGCGCAUCUGGCCACCGUAUUUUCUAUUACUGGCUCAAUGUAAUGGCUCCAUCUCAGGAACAGCCAAUGAAAGAGAUGCACAGGACAAGAAACAGGACCUUGCCCUGUCACUCAGGAUGGAGUUCAGUGGUCCUAUCAUGGUUCAUUAUAGCCUCAAACUCCCAGGCUCAAGCAAUCCUACCAUGUCAGCCUUCCCAGUAGCUGGGACUACAGGUCUCACACUGUCACCCAGGCUGGAGUACAGUGGCACAACCUCUGCUCACUGCAGCCUCCACCUGCCAGGCUCAAGCAAUUCUCCUGCCUCAGCCUCCCGAGUAGCUGGGAUUACAAGAAGUGACCUCACAAUGACUCAAGCUACCACAUGCUGUUGAUUGUGAAAUGCCAGUUGAAGCAUAUGUCCUGCGAGCUUAGGGGUGCUACAAGUUGACCACUGCAGCAGUAAAGAUGACUCUGAAGAAUGGCGUGGGAUGGAUCCUUUCGAAUGCACUUGAGCAGCGGUCUCCAACCACAGGGCCACAGAGCUGGAGGUGAGCAGCAGCUGGAUCUACCAUGAAAGACUUCUGAAUCCAGGAAGAGAGACUGACUGGGCAACAUGUUAUUCAGGGUCUCCCUCUGUUGUCCAAGGCUGGAGUGUAGUAGUGCUAUCGCAGCUGACUGCAGCCUCAACCUUCCAGGCUGAAGCGAUCCUCCCAUCUCAACCUCCCACGUGGCUGAGACUACAGGUGCUUGCCACUAUGCCCAACUAAUAUUUGGAAUUUUCGUAUACGUGGAUUCCAGAGGGGUGACAGCAAAACGUGGGACCAUCCAGUUGCAGGAAAACAAGCUUAACAUGCCCACUGAUUCUACAUUAUGCUCCUACCUCCCGGCAGCAUCUCCAGGCCCAGAACUUUCUCCAGUCAGCCUCUACAGACCAAGCUCAUGACUCACAAU
rnacentral:lncRNA from 10 species